ensembl:piRNA 21ur-4085 ncRNA
UGCUUGAUUGUUAAAUUGGAU